ensembl:lncRNA
UGAUCCACGAAGGAAGUGACAUAGCAGGGAGACUCAUAAACAAGGUCAAGAAGGAAGUGGGCCCCCUUCUCUCUUCCUUCUGUUCUCUGCUCUGGAGUCACUAUGUGAUCCACUGGCAAGAGAGGGCACCAGCAGAAGAUAUCUUCUAUAAGGCCAGCAGAAUUGCAUGGUAGGUAAAGGCACUGUGGUCAAGCCUGAUGACCUGAGCUCAAUCCUUGAAACCCACAUGGUGGAAGAAAAGAACCAAGUCACACAAGCUAAUCACAUCGUUCAAGGAGGGGCAUCAUACAGGAUGUGAGCAACAAGAAGCAGGGCUCACACAACUACUCAAAGACUUUGAUAUUAUAACCUUUAUUGAAAAUAUUUUUGUUGGAUAUCCCGAGGACCACCAGGAGUGUGAAGCUUUGUGAGAAUGGUUUCUCAUAAUUUUCUUAUUGGAAGAGGCUCUGGGAAUGCAUAUGUGUUCAGAAGAAAAGACACAGAGUUUCUUUAUUGGUGAUCCAACUUAAGAAAAUGGGCCUUGAAUUGAACGACAUUAUAGGAGUUUUGCUAUGUUACACAAAGACCAGGACAAUGCUCAGAAGACCUCUUGUUCUAGCUUGAGCUGCCUGAGAUCAGGUGUCUAGGCCCUGCAAUGGAACCAUCAUCCUGAAUAAGCCUUGCAUAGACCACCUGUAUGGAAAGAGAAUAGAUAUACUUCCAGACAUUUAUGGAGACUCUACUGGCCCAUCUCUGUGAGUUCAGUCCCUGAGCUGCAGAGAGAAUUGGAAGAUUUGGUUAUAUGACUACCUCAGACCACUCCUGCUUCCUUCCAUAUUGAAGUUAUUGUAUUUUGAGAAAUGCCCAUCUUGGCCUUUUAGAAAAAAAUACUUUGAUCUUUCUAGAGUCUUUUUGUCUUCACCCAAAUGCUGGCCUGACUUGACAACCAAGAGCAAGCAUUGAGAAGAAAUGGUGAAGGACAGACCUAGCUGUUGCUUAGAGAUAGAUGCUUCCCACUGGACUACAUUGGCAGAUGGGAUACUGAUCCAAGUUGAAACCAAGGGAACAGAUCUUUAAGGCAUCCCCCACUCCCAUAUCCUAUCACUGUUAAUAUAAUAGGUGAGUCAUAAAGAAUGCACUUUUCCUCAAGAGCAGGUGCUAUGCCUCCCUGCCCAAUCUAUUUUGUUUAUAUUUUAGCUUAGGCUACAACUUCUGCCCCUCCCCUAAGAAACUGUUGUCAGGUUGGGUAAUCACUGGCUGCUUCUCAGCACAAUGAGUGAGAAAAUAGACCAUGACCUAGUCAUUGCCAACCUCCAACUAACUCCCCCCACUCACCGCAUUCUCCUUGAACAAUCUUCAGAAUGGCGUGAUGAGGGAAAACUAGGCAUAGAAACACACAUGUGUGCUUUCUUUUGUAUUAUGUAUGUGUUACAUAAAUCACUCAUGAACUAAAUACAAAGGUACACAACUAUUGCUAACUACUAUGGUUUGGAGAACUGUUGUAAUAUAAAAACUGCUAAAGAAUAUUCAAAAGAAAAAAGAGAAAGAAAUUAUAUUUUGAAUGCCUGUCAUUUUCAAGGUUUAUUUGAACAAUUUACUGAAUGGGAAAGUUCAGGUUUUGCUGGGCAGAAUGGUUACUUUGUUGAAUUUUCUGCCUAAUCUAGUUUGUAGGACAUCUUUAGAGAUUAGCUUAAUCUUUCUCCAAAUUCAAGGACUGAAAGUCAGUUGGGUUCAUGUCCACUAACUCUUCAGCAUCAACAAAUAUGAGAUAAAUUAUCUCUAUGUAGGGCCUAAAUUGCCUUGGGUGCUGCCUAUUUUUUUUAUAUUCUGGGAUGAUGAUCAAAUUGCUGAGGGAGCUUUUCUCUUUACAUUUCAACUGGAGUAAGUUUUUGAGAGAUCACUACUGUCAUUUAUUGAGGCACCAGAAGCAGUGACUCUAGGAGAAUCUUGCUGAUUUGUGUUUUCUUGAUCUGAGGCUUCACUGUUCAUAGACAGAACUGCUUUAUGUGUCAUUUUGUGUUUUAGUCUCUGUGUAGGAUAAUUUGCUUGAUGGAAGUUGAAGAAAUGAGGGCUGGACAUAUUUAUUUGCAUAAAAGUCCUUUGGACUCUAAAGACAUAGAUGCUCCCUCUAGCCCAUUCUAGGCGACUGUACAUGGUUAGUCUUAUCAGUGGUACAGGGGCACUUGGACCUGUGGCUGCAGCAGUCUCCUAGGGAAUCCUAUCAGAAGGACACAACCCAUUCCUUGGAUAGAAGAGGAUGCAUCAGCUUGUCAGGACAUACUCAGAAAGGCUGCUCAUUCUGGACCUUGAGCAGAUACACAUCUCUAGGUGCCUGAGCUUCUUAGGACAGUUGAAAUGGGAUAUGUGGCCAGUAGGGACACUCUGGGAAGGAAUCCUAUCACACAAUAUACACACUCACCCGAUCACUCUCUUAGUGUACACUUUUGCUUUAGGUACUAAGAAGACCCUCUAAUCCCAAAUUCAGCAUGCUUCUAGUAUUCCUAACACUCACCAAGUAGCCGUGGCCACAUAAAAUUCUCUCUUUAACUCGUUGGAUACUAGAAUUAUUAUUGUUGGAUUACCUAGUUUAAAGUGUAGGCUUUGAAAUUACAGAGCUGUUGUCUAUGUUCUAUGUGUCAGUUUAUUUUCCUUUUUCCUUUGGGAAAAAAAAAAACCCUUAUUUAAAGAUUUUAUCUCAACCCAGAAGGAAUAUAGACAUUGAAAUACAUUGAGCUUCGUGGUGUCUAAAUAGUUAGGAUCCAGGUCUUUCAAAUGCUAAUUCUGGAAACAGAAGUUGUGGAAAAAACAAAAACAAAACCCCAAAACCUUACUACCAAUUCUCAAGAAAGACAGUAAUAAUUAUUUACAACAAGUAUAAAGCAGGAGAUAUUCUUCUAUGUCCUAAAUGUUGCUGAGAGUUAACUGUCCAGAGACCUGAUACAUUAUACUGCCUCCUAAAUGUAGGUGCUUUAGCUUUUUAAAACUUAUUGUAACUGUGUGUUUGGAUUUAUUAAAUAUGUUCCAGAAAAUACUAAAGUGCCAGGAAUACAUUAAGAGAUAUCUGAACUCAAGCAUUUUAGAGAGAUAAUAAUAAAAUAUCUUCUCUGAAAGCAUCACUUUCCUAAUCAGCAUUCAUUCAGUCAGAAAACGAGUUUUGUUAAGUUUUAAAACUUUUGGAGAAAGGAUUUUCUUCCAAAAUAAAUUGUAGCGAGAAAUUUAAUUUCAUUCAUUUUUUUGAAUAGUGAAAGGUAACAGGAAAUUAGAUAACAUGAAAUGCAUUAUUUUAAAUAAAAUUUAAAAAAACAAAUACAAAUAGACUGCAACUACAAUCAAUUUGUGACAUUUUCUUAAUAUAUAUAGAUUUCCAGCCGGUAAUCCCAGCACUCGGGAGGCAGAGGCAGGUAGAUCUCUGUGAGUUCGAGACCAGCCUGGCUAUAAUUAAUAUAUAAGGCAGAACAAUGUUGGUGGAGGUUUUAGGGUCAAAGCCUGGGACCUGGAAGCAUUACUCCUGGCUCAGCUAUGCAUCUUCCACAUGUCAGUAAAGGAGUCAAGUAAUAUUGAAAACAGAGAAAAGAGGAAAAAAUAAAGGUUCAGUGGCCCUAUUCCUUCCUUAAGGUGCUAACUAUGAAAUACAGGUUCAAAUGGAGAGUCAAAUGGGAUAAAUAAUCAAGAGUCCAGGUGUAGGAUGUGGCCCCACCCACCACUGACCAUCAUUGUAUGAACUCCGGUCUAUCUUGCAUUAGUCUGCUACGUUUUCAGAACUGUCUGGGAUAUCUUCCUGAGUAGCAAAUUCUGCUUCGUGCAGGGUUUCACACUUUCCCUUUUCUCAGCAUUUGAUUCUCAAGGACAUUGAAAUUCUACCUGUUCCAUUGUUUUAAUAAUCUGACAGACAAAGGGAGGGCACAGUGUCUCUCUUUAAAAGUGCUUCUCCCUACCAGAAUAAUUCCAAUUUUCCCUUGGGAGAUCUGGGUUGAUACUCUAGGAUUCAUAUGAAAAUUCUGGAAAUCUCCCUGUGCCUGAAAAAAAAAGUAUUAUAAAUAGACUACAAGUAGGAGCCAAGGCAGAAGCAUGAAUGAAAGCAUCUCUCCAUAACUUGUGGACUUUCCUGACUUUUGGAAGGGCUGGCACAGGGACUCAAUUUUUGUUGCUGGCUUCAGGAUAUUAUCUCACUAAGAAACACAGGAUCAAAAAUCCCAAAACUCACAAUCCCUUUGCUUCAGCUUUAUAAAUGUUGGAAUUAUAGUCAAGAACCACAGCAUGUGACAUCAUUUCAAUUCUGACACCUACCUAACCUUUCCCCCUCCCAAACAAAUUUUGAUGCUAUUGAUCAUCUCAUGCUUGGGUCUCACCUAUCCCUUACCACAGGGAUAAUAUCAAUCCCAUUUGGUCUCAUCUGAUGCCAUGUUGCAGGGCAAUGCAUAAUAAAUGUCUG